AGGAUGAACGCUGGCGGUGUGCCUAAUACAUGCAAGUCGUACGGAAAGGCCCUUCGGGGUACUCGAGUGGCGGACGGCUGAGUAACGCGUGGGAACGUACCCUAAAGUGAGGAAUAACUGCCCGAAAGGGUGGCUAAUGCCGCAUAUGCUCUUCGGAGUAAAGCUUCGGCGCUUUGGGAGCGGCCCGCGUCCGAUUAGCUUGUUGGUAAGGUAAUGGCUUACCAAGGCGACGAUCGGUAGCUGGUCUGAGAGGAUGAUCAGCCAGACUGGGACUGAGAACGGCCCAGACUCCUACGGGAGGCAGCAGUAGGGAAUUUUCCACAAUGGGCGAAAGCCUGAUGGAGCAACACCGCGUGCAGGACGAAGGCCCUCGGGUCGUAAACUGCUUUUAUUUGUGACGAUUAUGACGGUAGCAGAUGAAUAAGGAUCGGCUAACUCCGUGCCAACAGCCGC
rnacentral:rRNA from 1 species